GAUGCUGUGCGACCUUGGGAAGACAUGGACAUGACCCCCUAUUAUGUUGGACACUCGAUGGCACGAACACAAGCCUUCUGCCUUGGCAAAGCCCGCGGCACAGUCACACAUCAUAGAUGCAAGGCGUGGCUGGAAGUACCACUUCUUCUGUCCAUCUUUGGUGUCCUUUGGAUGGCCAUGCAAUAUUUAUUUUGAAAGGCAGUUAUUGAGAUUGUGAAUGCCGUGGCCUAUCCAUCAUAGCAGUGGAUCAGGAGGAUCUUACAGAGACAUCGCUGGUGGUACUGCUCUACAUGGUACCCCCGCAGUCACUAGGAGACGUAGGAUACUGGACAUUGUGAUGAUCGUUGCAGAUGAGAUUAUAUUACCAAGAUAGUUGUUUUUGUUCCCCACUUUAACCAUUCAGAGAGGGGGGAAAACAGCACCAACAAAACAGGAAAACAAACUGAUUUUGUUCAGCCAUAUUAGUAGCUAAUAGUGACAGUACAGUGCAAUUGGUAGCCUUGCAAAAUAGUCAGCAGUGGUUUGCAUACUAUAUUUGAAUACAACCUUAGCUAAUCUUUACUAAAGUGCUGACAACUAACCACACAUUGUAUGUGUGGUAAACCCACUAUCAAUUUGAAUUAAUGUAA